UACGUAGGGUGCAAGCGUUGUCCGGAAUUAUUGGGCGUAAAGAGCUCGUAGGCGGUCUGUCGCGUCUGCUGUGAAAACUCAGGGCUUAACCCUGAGCUUGCAGUGGGUACGGGCAGACUAGAGUGCGGUAGGGGAGACUGGAAUUCCUGGUGUAGCGGUGAAAUGCGCAGAUAUCAGGAGGAACACCGGUGGGCGAAGGCGGGUCUCUGGGCAAUAACUGACGCUGGAGGAGCGAAAGCCGUGGGGAGCGAACAGG
rnacentral:rRNA from 1 species